rnacentral:piRNA from 1 species
UAGCAGGAUGUUUUUGGAUUCAG